GCAUAAUAAAUAGUCUUUUAAUUGAGGACUAGAAUGAAGGGUUUAAUACUAAAAAGAAAGUUUUAUUUAAUUAUUUUGAAUUUAAAUUAAAAGUAAAAAUGCUUUUAUUAAUUUUUGGGACGAGAAGACCCUAGAAGCUUUUAAAUUUAAGAAUUAAAUUUUUAGUUGGGGUAACAUUUGAAGAUUUAAAUUUUUAAAUUUUUAAAUUUAAUAUUAUUAAUUAAGUUACUCUAGGGAUAACAGCAUUAUUUGAUUAACAAGUUCUUAUUAAUAAUUGAAGUUUGUGACCUCGAUGUUGAAUUAAUU
rnacentral:rRNA from 1 species